rnacentral:rRNA from 1 species
GUGGGGAAUAUUGGGCAAUGGGGGCAACCCUGACCCAGCGACGCCGCGUGAGGGAAGAAGGCCUUAGGGUCGUAAACCUCUGUUGUGUGGGAAGAAGGAAGUGACGGUACCACACGAGGAAGUCCCGGCUAACUACGUGCCAGCAGCCGCGGUAAUACGUAGGGGACGAGCGUUGUCCGGAAUUACUGGGCGUAAAGGGCGCGUAGGCGGUCAUUUAAGUCAGCUGUGAAAUGGUCCGGCUCAACCGGAUCAUGCGGUUGAAGCUGGAUGACUGGAGUGCUGGAGAGGCAAGUGGAAUUCCCAGUGUAGCGGUGAAAUGCGUAGAUAUUGGGAAGAACACCGGUGGCGAAGGCGACUUGCUGGCCAGCAACUGACGCUGAGGCGCGAAAGCCAGGGGAGCAAACGGGAUUAGAAACCCGGGUAGUCC